UGUCGCGUCUGCUGUGAAAUCCCGAGGCUCAACCUCGGGCUUGCAGUGGGUACGGGCAGACUAGAGUGCGGUAGGGGAGAUUGGAAUUCCUGGUGUAGCGGUGGAAUGCGCAGAUAUCAGGAGGAACACCGAUGGCGAAGGCAGAUCUCUGGGCCGUAACUGACGCUGAGGAGCGAAAGCGUGGGGAGCGAACAGGAUUAGAUACCCUGGUAGUCCACGCCGUAAACGUUGGGCGCUAGAUGUAGGGACCUUUCCACGGUUUCUGUGUCGUAGCUAACGCAUUAAGCGCCCCGCCUGGGGAGUACGGCCG
rnacentral:rRNA from 1 species